rnacentral:rRNA from 1 species
AAGGGGGGAYCUURGUACCUCUCGCUACAGGGRCGGCCGAUGGCAGAUUAGCUAGUKGGUGGGGUAAAGCCCUACCAAGGCGACGAUCUGUAGCUGGYCUGAGAGGACGACCAGCCASACUGGGACUGAGACACGGCCCAGACCCUACGGGAGGCAGCAGUGGGGAAUUUUGGACAAUGGGGGCAACCCUGAUCCAGCAAUGCCGCGUGUGUGAAGAAGGCCUUCGGGUUGUAAAGCACUUUUGUCCGGAAAGAAAUCCUGUGGGCUAAUACCCUGUGGGGAUGACGGUACCGGAAGAAUAAGCACCGGCUAACUACGUGCCAGCAGCCGCGGUAAUACGUAGGGUGCAAGCGUUAAUCGGAAUUACUGGGCGUAAAGCGUGCGCAGGCGGUCCGCUAAGACAGAUGUGAAAUCCCCGGGCUUAACCUGGGAACUGCAUUUGUGACUGGCGGGCUAGAGUAUGGCAGAGGGGGGUAGAAUUCMACGUGUAGCAGUGAAAUGCGUAGAGAUGUGGAGGAAUACCGAUGGCGAAGGCAGCCCCCUGGGCCAAUACUGACGCUMAUGCACGAAAGCGUGGGGAGCAAACAGGAUUAGAUACCCUGGUAGUCCACGCCCUAAACGAUGUCAACUAGUUGUCGGGUCYWMAUUVACUUGGUAACGUACUAA